rnacentral:lncRNA from 10 species
UCCCAGCUACUCAGGAGGCUGAGGCAGUAGAAUCACUUAAACCUGAGAGGCGGAGGUUGCAGUGAGCUGAGAUCACACCACUGUACUCCAGCCUGGUGACAGUAAGACUCCACCUCAAACAAACAAAAAAUGCACAAAAGGAAAAAAUGUUCUGGAUAAAGAGCAUAUGAAAGGUACUUUCUUUUAGAACAGUAUGAAUGUAUAUGAAUUUAUCUUUAUGUGAGAAAUAAUCUUUUUUGUAAGUUAAAGGUUAAAGACCCUGCUUGUUUCCUAAAUCAGAGGGUUAGAGCUGUUGAAAUUAAACCUUUAUAGUGCUUAACCUGGAAACAAAUGUACUACAGCCCCACUGAAGCCGCUCUAUGGGUUUUUUGCUUACGAUGUUUUAGCAACAGGCAUUUAUUUUGUAGAAUGGUAUACUUUCUGCUUUGUCUCCUCAUCUUUCUCCACUGGUUUCCUGGGUACAUUUUUUUUAAAGGGAGAGAAGUUUGUGAGUUUAAUGUUUUAAAAAAACUCCCAAGAACAUGGAUAAGCCGGAUUUCUCUCAUGCUUAUGAUUAGGGAGUUAGGAUUUAAAGAUGCAAAGCAGAAGGACUGAAAGGAAUAGCCAGUGAAUAUGUUUCAGUGGGUGAGGUGUGAAACCUUGUCUAAUAUAGAUGUGUCCUAUGGCCUGUGACUGCUUAUUCUUUAUCAAUGAGAACUCAGCAAACUAGUUUCUUUCUUGAUCUGAGGAACCACACAGCUCACAUCAGAAUAUAAUAGUGGAACUAGGGUGACUUCACUCCCUUUCACCUGAUGUCUAUCUUGGCCUUUUAGCACCUUGACUAUCCCUGAAAAGACUGGGUCUUUGUUUUCCCAGGGAAAAAACGAAGUGAUGUAGAUCUAAGAAAUAGUGCCUCUUUAAUAUUUAAUUCUUACAUGACAACUAACACACAGGGAAAAGGCUAUGUUAAGUUGAUUAUAGCUCCUCUUAAAAUGUCCUAUGCUGUCAGUUGGUCUUAGAGACAUGGGAAUAACCAAGCAAUAUUCAGACAUCUGCACUAUCUGGGGACAGCGCUACAUAGUACAAUGAUGUCAGCAGUUCAGUUACUUGGAACAAUUAAAGAUUACCCUUAACAGCCAUGUUAAUACAUCUAAAUGCUAAAAUAUACUACGAGUUUUUCAUAGUCUUGAAAGUAUACAGUUAAUUACUUUUCAAAGUUACUGUGGUCUCAUGUUUACUCUUCUUGUAUCUGUGAUAUGCAAAAAGAUGAAGACUCUUGGCCUCCAGGAGUUUACAUUCUCAUGGUGCUGUUGGUUCAAGCAGAUUGCUUUAGUUUAUUAAUGAACAUUGCUUGGCUAUUAAUUAUAUCCUAUUUGGAAGGAUCCCUUGGUGAACAGUUUUAAAAAGCAGAGGGCUGUGCUAAAUUUCAGGGUAUUGAUAGCUUGAGUUUACAUUGUAUUAGCCCUGCUCGUUAUCAUUUUUUUCCCCAGGGAGCUAUGCAGGUAAUGCUCAUUAGCAUGAAUCAGAAAAGAAACCAUUCUGCCUAAGAGCAUCUUAACCAUCCCCCUAAACCACCUAUGCUCUCCUGUUAUAGUUGUCAGUAAAUCACGAAGAAAAUUAACAGCUCCUUAAGACUCUACAUCCCUCAAUUCUCUUUCUUUUCCCAGAGUUUGUACAUCAUUCUCUACUCAGAUGGACCAGGAUUUGCAUAUAAGCCUUUUAAAACUGACUAGUGGUCCUAAUUUUAACAUUUUUGUGUAUGACUCCUAUCCCUUUUCUGAAGCAGCAUUGUGAUAGAUGUGGAGCUUCUACCUGCAUUUCUAAGCAAUUAUUAACCCAACUUUUGAGUUGAAACUUGCAUGGAUCCUUGUUAUGUCCCGUAAUUCCUCUGAAUCAAGGAAUUUAUUUUGCAUGCUUAUUAAACUCAAACUGGGUCUGAUUGAAAGUGCAAGCAAUAGUGACAGGACCUUAACUCUGGUUUUAGAGUACGAACAUUCUAAUGCAUGACUCAAAAUGUCCAGUGUUGUGGUUACUAGUUAUUUUAUAUAUGCAUUUGUUAAUAAUGAAGCAAUAGAGACUAAGACCAAUAGCUUGAAUAUAUUCAGAUUAUUUUCAUGUUUUAAUAAAGGAUUUUUCUUACUUCCAUUGAAAAUGGGAAGUAGAAGAUAAACAGGGGCAACCACAAGACAUUCAAACUGUCAGGACUAGGGCGUAGCAGUGCCCACCCUCUAACCACUUGCCUGGUUCCAUUAGUCCCCAAGCAUGUUUGAAAACAAAAGACACAAACUAAGCAUGCUGAAUAAAACUAGCUGCUAUGGCUGUAAUAAUCAGAAAGGUGCAGAGUUUCAGAAAGAGUAGGAAAGUAGGGAAUGCCAGUAUGGAGUAUGUAAAAUAACUAGAUAUGGAUAUGGGGUUUGUUUAUGAUAUGCUUUAUGUAGACAAAGUUUGAGGUCUUUUAAAACUGGGAUUUGAGUUGAAAAGAGUCAGGAUGCACAUAUUUCCACUAUUUCAGGAUUUUCAGAUGACUAGGCACAUGUUGUGGAUGAUACUGGUACCAACUACCAAUGACCAACUAUAAAGUACCCCUGCAAUAAGGGAGACUUCCUUUUUGUAGAAUAGUCCUGAAAAUACUGACAGAUCUGUGGUUAGUUUGUUAUUUUAUUGCAUAAAAAACAGUUUAAACAAAUUUUAUAGCCAAAGUUUUAUCCUUGAUGGGUUUGGCCAGACUGCAAUUUCUUGACUAAAGCUUUUAAUGCCAGGUUAAACAGGAGAAACUUUUUCCACUAGAAGAAAAUCCUUGCUAUCUAUUUUUUCCAAUAGAAGAAAAUCCUUGCUAUUUAUUUUAUUUGAUGAAUAAACAAAUUUAUUGCAGUAGCUUAAAAAAAUUUUUUUUUUAAACAGUCUCACUCUGUCGCCCAGGCUGGAGUGAAGCAAUGUGAUCUCAGCUCACUGCAACCUCCACCUCCCGAGUAGCUGGGAUUACAGACAUGCACCACCACCCUCAGCUAAUUUUUGUAUUUUUAGUAGAGACGGGGUUUCGCCAUGUUGGCCAGGCUGGUCUUUAACUCCUGGCCUUACGUGAUCCGCCCCCCCUUAGCCUUCCAAAGUGCUGGGAUUACAGGUGUGAGCCACUGCACCUGGCCUGUAGUAGCUUAAAAUUUUCCUUGAGAAAAUUCCUGACUUUAAAAAUAACCCUUAUAUAAGUACAAGUGAUUGUGACAAAUGACGUAAAAAUGGCAUUCAUGAUGUCUGAAACAAGCCUAAAUAGAAUUCAAGAUUAGACUAAAUGAUUUUCACAAAGCACAUUCAAGGUUUUACAUUCUAUGAUUGAAAAAAAUUUUUUGAAAACUUUUUAUUUCAUUCUUUCCUGUAGGAUUUUGCUACAAAUAACUUUGGGAAUGAAUAAAGUGGAAUGGUAACUUUCCAGUGGUUCAGAAUUGAAUUAGACUUCUUGUGACUGUGAUGUUUGGUUUCCAUUGAAAUAUAUGAAGUGAGAUGUCAUAUCCUGAAUAUAGUUUGUCUUCCCCAAUUACUUGAUAGCAUGUCUGUCAGCCAGUAAAGAUUAAGAACAGAGUUUCUCUAAAUUCCUCCGAUUAUUCCACUAAGGCACAUUAAAAUACUUAAUUUUGGGAAACCAGACAUCACAGAUUUCUCCAUGAAGUCCUAAAUCUUCUUUAAAGUCAGAAUAGGUAUCUUAGUUACUGACAGUAUUCAGGUUUUUUUCUCCCUUGGUGAUAUGUCAUUCCAUCAGUGAAAAAAUAUUUUCUCCCAGGGAUAAGAAAGGUAUUCUGGUAAUACAUUAUCAUCAAUCCUUAAACAGUAACAGUCUUGGCACUUAUCACAAAACCGACCCAUUUCUUAUAACCAGAAAGAUUAUCUUAGACUGUCCUUCACAUUAUACUUUACCUACUGCCUUGUAAGAAUAAGAGUUGCUCACUGUGUUUACUUGCUGUCCUCCAUAUUCUCCAUUGCACCAUUGGUGUAUAACGUUAAGAGUUUCAUUGAAUAUUAUUUUAAGUAUUACAAAAGGCAGCUUGCUUCUUAAUCUAUGCAUCUUUGGGGUUUUUGAAGAAAUUUAAUUCUUUGAUGUAAAAAGGAACUGUUAAAAAAGUUGGAAGCUCUGCACCUGUGUAUAUAUAUAUUUUAGCAAUAAAGCAGCAUGGGCUGAGAAUGCACUG